rnacentral:rRNA from 1 species
UACGGGAGGCAGCAGUGGGGAAUAUUGCACAAUGGGCGCAAGCCUGAUGCAGCCAUGCCGCGUGUAUGAAGAAGGCCUUCGGGUUGUAAAGUACUUUCAGUCGUGAGGAGGUGUUAAGGUUAAUAACCUUAGCAAUUGACGUUAGCGACAGAAGAAGCACCGGCUAACUCCGUGCCAGCAGCCGCGGUAAUACGGAGGGUGCGAGCGUUAAUCGGAAUUACUGGGCGUAAAGGGCACGCAGGCGGUUAAUUAAGUUGGAUGUGAAAUCCCCGGGCUUAACCUGGGAAUGGCAUUCAAGACUGGUUAGCUAGAGUCUUGUAGAGGGGGUAGAAUUCCGAUGUGUAGCGGUGAAAUGCGUAGAGAUGUGGAGGAAUACCGGUGGCGAAGGCGGCCCCUGGGACAAAGACUGACGCUCAUGUGCGAAAGCGUGGGGAGCAAACAGGAUUAGAUACC